rnacentral:rRNA from 1 species
UACGUAGGGGGCAAGCGUUGUCCGGAUUUACUGGGACGUAAAGAGCGUGUAGGCGGCCAAGCAGGUCCGUUGUGAAAACCUGGAGGCUUAACCUCCAGACGUUCGACGGAAACCGCGCGGCUUAGAGUCCGGAAGAGGAGAAGUGGGAAUUCCUGUGUAGCGGUGAAAUGACGCAGAUAUCAGGAAGAACACCAAUGGCGAAGGCAGCUCUCUGGGACGGUAUUGACGCUGAGGCACGAAGGUCAGGGGAGCAAACGGGG